GUUAGUGAGGAAAGGAAAACUCAAAGCAAGAUGUCUUGUUUUAUCCAAAUUGACAACUCACUGGAGCAAAUCCGCGUGCCGGUGAAAGCCCAAAGAUCUGAAAAAGGAAGGAGAAGGUGGAGGUGAUUAUUAGGUGCAACGAAGUUGAAGGCAGGAUUCCGGCAAUUUAUUUUCACUGAAAUCAAAGGAGAAACUUGAAGAAAAAUCUU
rnacentral:lncRNA from 1 species